rnacentral:rRNA from 1 species
UACGGAGGGGGCGAGCGUUAUUCGGAAUUAUUGGGCGUAAAGGGCGCGUAGGCGGCCCGCUAAGUCAAAGGUGAAAUCCCUCGGCUCAACUGAGGAACUGCCUUUGAGACUGUCGGGCUCGAGGCCGGGAGGGGGUAGCGGAAUUCCCAGUGUAGCGGUGAAAUGCGUAGAUAGUUGGGAGGAACACCAGUGGCGAAGGCGGCUACCUGGACCGGUUCUGACGCUGAUGCGCGAAAGCGUGGGUAGCAAACAGG